rnacentral:rRNA from 1 species
UACGGGGGGGGGCAAGCGUUGUUCGGAAUUACUGGGCGUAACGGGCUCGUAGGUUGCCAACUAAGUCAGACGUGAAAUCCCUCGGCUUAACCGGGGAACUGCGUCUGAUACUGGAUGGCUUGAGUUCGGGAGAGGGAUGCGGAAUUCCAGGUGUAGCGGUGAAAUGCGUAGAUAUCUGGAGGAACACCGGUGGCGAAGGCGGCAUCCUGGACCGACACUGACACUGAGGAGCGAAAGCCAGGGGAGCAAACGGG